UCUUAGAUUGCCGGAAGACAAACCGCUGCGAAAGCGUCUGCCAAGGAUGUUUUCAUUGAUCAAGAACGAAAGUAAGGGGAUCGAAGACGAUCAGAUACCGUCGUAGUCUUUACUAUAAACGAUGAGGACUGGGGAUCGGGCGCGGAAUUACGAUGACCCGCCCGGCACCCUCCGGGAAACCAAAGUGUUUGCUUUCUGGGGGGAGUAUGGUCGCAAGGCUGAAACUUAAAGGAAUUGACGGAAGGGCAUCACCGGGUGUGGAGCCUGCGGCUUAAUUUGACUCAACACGGGAAAACUUACCAGGUCAGGACAUAGUGAGGAUUGACAGAUUGAGAGCUCUUUCAUGAUUCUAUGGUUGGUGGUGCAUGGCCGUUCUUAGUUGGUGGAGUGAUUUGUCUGGUUAAUUCCGUUAACGAGCGAGACCUGGGCGUGCUAAAUAGGGGCUACUACCAUUUUUUUUGGGUAGUGAGUUUUUUUUUCAACCCCUUCUUAGACGGACUGCGGGCGUCUAGUCCGCGGAAGCUCCAGGCAAUAACAGGUCUGAGAUGCCCUUAGAUGUUCUGGGCCGCACGCGUGCUACACUGAGCGGGUCAGCGGGUGUUGGAUGCGCGAAAGCGUUUCACAAUCCCCAAAUCCGCUCGUGAUGGGGAUAGACGGUUGCAAUUUUCCGUCUUGAACGAGGAAUACCUUGUAAGCGUGGGUCAUCAUCCCACGCUGAAUACGUCCCUGCCCUUUGUACACACCGCCCGUCGCUCCUACCGAUUGAGUGGUCCGGUGAGGUCUUGGGAUUGAUAU
rnacentral:rRNA from 1 species